rnacentral:misc_RNA from 1 species
GAUACGUACUCCAAUAAAUGCUAUGUUUCUGUCAGUAUGGGUUUAAGUGCGUGCUUAUUUGGUGCAAGGGAGGACAUAAAGGUGAUUUUUAGCAAUAUAGUUGCCCUAAGUGAGAGUGAGGGUACCACUGCUGGCAGUCAUCGGUGGAUAGCCUAGUCAUAAUAAGUUCAUGCUAUCAGUGGAUUCAAGAGAGAUAAGGGAUUAAGAGAUCUAGUAUGUUGGAACGUAUAGUAG